CAGUAGCCGCGGUAAUACGAAGGGGGCUAGCGUUGUUCGGAAUAACUGGGCGUAAAGGGCGCAUAGGCGGAUCUUUAAGUCAGGGGUGAAAUCCCAAGGCUCAACCUUGGAACUGCCUUUGAUACUGGAGAUCUUGAGUCCGGGAGAGGUGAGUGGAACUGCGAGUGUAGAGGUGAAAUUCGUAGAUAUUCGCAAGAACACCAGUGGCGAAGGCGGCUCACUGGCCCGGUACUGACGCUGAGGCGCGAAAGCGUGGGGAGCAAACAGGAUUAGAUACCCCCGUAGUCCCUGUCUCUUAUAC
rnacentral:rRNA from 1 species